rnacentral:tRNA from 1 species
UAGACAGAUGCUCGCUGCUUGGGCGCCUAGCUGUUAACUAGGAUCUUGUAGGAUAAAGGCCUGCCUGUCUAG